GUGGGGAAUCUUGCGCAAUGGGCGAAAGCCUGACGCAGCCAUGCCGCGUGAAUGAUGAAGGUCUUAGGAUUGUAAAAUUCUUUCACCGGGGACGAUAAUGACGGUACCCGGAGAAGAAGCUCCGGCUAACUUCGUGCCAGCAGCCGCGGUAAUACGUAGGGAGCGAGCGUUGUCCGGAAUUACUGGGCGUAAAGGGCGCGUAGGCGGGAAUUUAAGUAAGGUGUGAAAACUCCGGGCUCAACCUGGAGACUGCACUUUAAACUGGAUUUCUUGAGGGCAGGAGAGGAAAGUGGAAUUCCUAGUGUAGCGGUGAAAUGCGUAGAUAUUAGGAGGAACACCAGUGGCGAAGGCGACUUUCUGGACUGUACCUGACGCUGAGGCGCGAAAGCGUGGGGAGCGAACAGGAUUAGAUACCCGAGUAGUCC
rnacentral:rRNA from 1 species